rnacentral:rRNA from 1 species
UUCCGGUUGAUCCUGCCAGAGGUUACUGCUAUCGGAGUUCGAGUAAGCCAUGCGAGUCUAAAGGUUUCUUCGGAAACCUUGGCGGACUGCUCAGUAACACGUGGAUAACCUACCCUUGGGACUGGAAUAACCCCGGGAAACUGGGGAUAAUACCGGAUAGAUCAGGGAUGCUGGAAUGCACCUUGAUCCAAAGCUCCGGCGCCCAAGGAUGGGUCUGCGGCCUAUCAGGUAGUAGUGGGUGUAACGUACCUACUAGCCAACGACGGGUACGGGUUGUGAGAGCAAGAGCCCGGAGAUGGAUUCUGAGACACGAAUCCAGGCCCUACGGGGUGCAGCAGGCGCGAAACCUUUACAAUGUGCGAAAGCAUGAUAAGGGAACUCCGAGUGCCAGUAUCUAAUACUGGCUGUCCUUGUGCCUAAAACGCACAAGAUAGCAAGGGCCGGGUAAGACCGGUGCCAGCCGCCGCGGUAACACCGGCGGCCCGAGUGGUAGCCGCUAUUAUUGGGUCUAAAGGGUCCGUAGCCGGUUCGAUAAGUCCUCUGGGAAAUCUGGUUGCUUAACAAUCAGACUGCCAAGGGAUACUGUCGAACUUGAGACCGGGAGAGGUAAGAGGUACUUCAGGGGUAGGAGUGAAAUCUUGUAAUCCCUGGGGGACCAUCUGUGGCGAAGGCGUCUUACCAGACCGGGUCUGACGGUGAGGGACGAAAGCUGGGGGCGCAAACCGGAUUAGAUACCCGGGUAGUCCCAGCCGUAAACGAUGCUCGCUAUGUGUCAGGUACGGUGUGACCGUAUCUGGUGCCGUAGGGAAGCCGUGAAGCGAGCCACCUGGGAAGUACGGCCGCAAGGCUGAAACUUAAAGGAAUUGGCGGGGGAGCACUACAACGGGUGGAGCCUGCGGUUUAAUUGGAUUCAACGCCGGG